GACGAACGCUGGCGGCGUGCUUAACACAUGCAAGUCGAACGAUGAAGCCUAGCUUGCUAGGUGGAUUAGUGGCGAACGGGUGAGUAAUACGUGAGUGACCUACCUUUGACUCUGGGAUAAGCCUGGGAAACUGGGUCUAAUACCGGAUACGACCAAUCUCUGCAUGGGGUGUUGGUGGAAAGCGUUAUGGAGUGGUUUUAGAUGGGCUCACGGCCUAUCAGCUUGUUGGUGAGGUAAUGGCUUACCAAGGCGACGACGGGUAGCCGGCCUGAGAGGGUGACCGGCCACACUGGGACUGAGACACGGCCCAGACUCCUACGGGAGGCAGCAGUGGGGAAUAUUGCACAAUGGGCGCAAGCCUGAUGCAGCGACGCCGCGUGAGGGAUGACGGCCUUCGGGUUGUAAACCUCUGUUAGCAUCGAAGAAGCGAAAGUGACGGUAGGUGCAGAGAAAGCGCCGGCUAACUACGUGCCAGCAGCCGCGGUAAUACGUAGGGCGCGAGCGUUGUCCGGAAUUAUUGGGCGUAAAGAGCUUGUAGGCGGUUGGUCGCGUCCGCUGUGAAGGCCGGGGCUUAACUCCGGUUUUGCAGUGGGUACGGGCUAACUAGAGUGCAGUAGGGGAGACUGGAAUUCCUGGUGUAGCGGUGGAAUGCACAGAUAUCAGGAGGAACACCGAUGGCGAAGGCAGGUCUCUGGGCUGUAACUGACGCUGAGAAGCGAAAGCAUGGGGAGCGAACAGGAUUAGAUACCCUGGUAGUCCAUGCCGUAAACGUUGGGCACUAGGUGUGGGGGACAUUCCACGUUUUCCGCGCCGUAGCUAACGCAUUAAGUGCCCCGCCUGGGGAGUACGGCCGCAAGGCUAAAACUCAAAGGAAUUGACGGGGGCCCGCACAAGCGGCGGAGCAUGCGGAUUAAUUCGAUGCAACGCGAAGAACCUUACCAAGGCUUGACAUGCAUUAGAUCGCGUCAGAGAUGGCGUUUCCCUUCGGGGCUGGUGUACAGGUGGUGCAUGGUUGUCGUCAGCUCGUGUCGUGAGAUGUUGGGUUAAGUCCCGCAACGAGCGCAACCCUCGUUCUAUGUUGCCAGCGGUUCGGCCGGGGACUCAUAGGAGACUGCCGGGGUUAACUCGGAGGAAGGUGGGGAUGACGUCAAAUCAUCAUGCCCCUUAUGUCUUGGGCUUCACGCAUGCUACAAUGGCCGGUACAGAGGGUUGCGAUACUGUGAGGUGGAGCUAAUCCCUUAAAGCCGGUCUCAGUUCGGAUUGGGGUCUGCAACUCGACCCCAUGAAGUCGGAGUCGCUAGUAAUCGCAGAUCAGCAACGCUGCGGUGAAUACGUUCCCGGGCCU
rnacentral:rRNA from 1 species